UGCCGUGCGGUCGGCCGGUUGACCAAGCAAGAAACGUACGGAAAUCUUCCAGUGAUUUGCAAAUAUCGUGCCACAUUAAACAUUAACAACAACAAAAAAUUAAUAUUCCUUUCGGGCUAGCAGAUAAUCGAGAGAUUAAAACUGUGCAGUGGACGGGCCUGAACUCCACACCUCAGUACUUGGAGCUCCUGUUAGUUGCCACUUCUAACCCAAACGCCACAGCAGCUCUGCAGGAAGCGACGAAGGAAGCCCAGUGUUUUAAUAGGCCCUGUUCCUGGAACGCCAUGCUUACGAGAAAAGAAUCUGGUACACAAAGAAACGUGCAUUUGAUGAAGAUAAAAGAAUAUAUUGAGCGAAAGUAAAAAAUUU